rnacentral:rRNA from 1 species
UACGUAGGGUGCGAGCGUUGUCCGGAAUUAUUGGGCGUAAAGAGCUCGUAGGCGGUCUGUCGCGUCUGCUGUGAAAAUCCAGGGCUCAACCCUGGACCUGCAGUGGGUACGGGCAGACUAGAGUGCGGUAGGGGAGAUCGGAAUUCCUGGUGUAGCGGUGAAAUGCGCAGAUAUCAGGAGGAACACCGGUGGCGAAGGCGGAUCUCUGGGCCGAUACUGACGCUGAGGAGCGAAAGCGUGGGGAGCGAACAGG